GGGGACGAAAGGAUUCGACAGGGGGCUAGGUAGCCGGAUAGCAGGCCGAGGUUGGCUGUCACCCUCGUAAAUCAGGCGGCCGAAAAUAACUGGCAAUCGCCAACUCGCUCUCGCCGCUUAAGUAGCGACGACGUUCCCGGCGACCCUCGCCCUGGUUGCCGAGCCCGGCCCCGAGCGCGGCCGCGA
rnacentral:tmRNA from 1 species